rnacentral:rRNA from 1 species
AGCGAACGCUGGCGGCAGGCCUAACACAUGCAAGUCGAACGGACCCUUCGGGGUUAGUGGCGGACGGGUGAGUAACACGUGGGAACGUGCCUUUAGGUUCGGAAUAGCUCCUGGAAACGGGUGGUAAUGCCGAAUGUGCCCUUCGGGGGAAAGAUUUAUCGCCUUUAGAGCGGCCCGCGUCUGAUUAGCUAGUUGGUGGGGUAAUGGCCCACCAAGGCUACGAUCAGUAGCUGGUCUGAGAGGAUGACCAGCCACAUUGGGACUGAGACACGGCCCAAACUCCUGCGGGAGGCAGCAGUGGGGAAUCUUGCGCAAUGGGCGAAAGCCUGACGCAGCCAUGCCGCGUGAAUGAUGAAGGUCUUAGGAUUGUAAAAUUCUUUUACCAGGGACGAUAAUGACGGUACCUGGAGAAAAAGCCCCGGCUAACUUCGUGCCAGCAGCCGCAGUAAAAC